rnacentral:rRNA from 1 species
GGGCCCGCACAAGCGGAGGAACAUGUGGUUUAAUUCGAUGAUACGCGAGGAACCUUACCUGGGCUUAAAUGUGGAGUGCAUUGGUGAGAAAUCAUCAUUUUCUUCGGAACUCUCUGCAAGGUGCUGCAUGGUUGUCGUCAGCUCGUGCCGUGAGGUGUCGGGUUAAGUCCCAUAACGAGCGCAACCCUUAUCGUUAGUUGCCAGCGGGUCAAGCCGGGGACUCUAGCGAAACUGCCGGUGUAAACCGAGAGGAAGGUGGGGAUGACGUCAAAUCAGCACGCCCCUUAUGUCCAGGGCUACACACGUGUUACAAUGGCCGGUACAGAGGGCAGCUACCUGGAGACAGGAUGCGAAUCUCGAAAGCCGGUCUCAGUUCGGAUCGGAGUCUGCAACUCGACUCCGUGAAGCUGGAUUCGCUAGUAAUCGCGCAUCAGCCACGGCGCGGUGAAUACGUUCCCGGGCCUU